ACACUCAGCUUUCAAAGAAUAGUAGGCUUAUCCAACUGGAGUAUCUAAAAUAAUGUCUCAUAAGAGAAGUGCUUGUGUCACUCAAAGAAACAAAAAAAUCUGGACGAAGAAUCUCAUGGAAUUUCAAGACUCACAUAGGAAAAGAAGACCUGUUCCUCUGGAAGAGCAUUCUUUGGAAAACAACUGCAGGAUACCAAUAAAACUUCAAAUUGUCGGUCGCUACUUGUUCCUUGGAGGUACCAUCAAAGGAAGGAAAGGGAAAACAAAGGAAAUUUCGAAAGAAGUAACUUUUUUAUGGCAAAAGAAAUUAAAUUUCUCAUAUCUAUCAAUUCAAAAUGUACAAGCAAAAGUAGAAAAAGUGCUGAAUACCUACGAUAAAUGUGUAAAACAAGGAAAAUAUGAUUCAUUGAAAGGAACUUUUGACAUCACAAAGGAAAACGGUGAAUGGCUGUACAGUGAGGACAGAAGUUAUAUUAUCUUCAAAUUGAAAGCAAGGGACAGUUUGUGUAUGCAACUGGAAAGGCAGCCAGUUCCAAAACAAUCCAUCCAUCCAAAAGAAGAAAAGUGUCCUUAAUGCCAACUUCAGCCAGAGCAACUACAGU
rnacentral:misc_RNA from 1 species